ensembl:snoRNA small nucleolar RNA SNORD19
GAGAAAAGAGGAAAACAGAAUAAGUCUUGAUUUACUGUGAAGACUUUAAUCCAACUCUGAUCUCGUAGCUAUC